GGGCCGCCGCGAAGCCGGAGAAGGAGGAGCUCCGCUGCUACAGGGGGCGGACGGCGGUGCGCCGGCCGGCUGCGUCCUCCACCGUGGGGCGUGGGAGCUGGGAGCGUCCGAGGAGGGGAGUGGUGCGUUCAGUCCUGCCCUGUCCUGCAAAAAAGCCGGUGGCCGGGCUCCCUGGCGCCGGCCCUCCGAUGCCUAAGUCAGAGGGGGCAAGUAUGUGGAGAGAGCGGGGAGGAGAGUAUGUGGAGAAGACACAGAGGAUAUUUGGAUAAGAUCAAGAAGAUGAAAGGGAUGGUGUCAUCAAUUGUGUCUGUGCUUCCUCCCACCCCGUCCCGGAGGGUCCAGUCUGGGGAGUUUUUGUUAGGGGUUUCUCAGAGUCCGUCCGGAGAGAGUCCCUCCUCUUCCCCCCCAGGCUUCCUUUUAUAAAAGAUUUGGUUACCUGGGAGGUGACAGGAGGUUUGUCCUGUUCUGUGAUAAUUGGGCACGAUUUAGCCCAUUAAUGGCGUAGUGGAGAACGGGACCGGAUCAGACCGGAACCAGCGAGUUGUCACGGUCGAUCGGACCUGUUGGAGUUGUUGAACCGCCGGCCGUGGUGGGCCUGGGGUCCGUGGAUGGUAAGUGCAUUUAUUACCGAAUGAACCGGCGGUCAGGUAGAGCCAUACGCUCUGAUGGUUCAGUAAUCCGGAGAUCGUCUUGGGCCGUGUUCAUUAAAUGACUUGAGUGCAUCGGAGACUUGAGGGAGUCUCGUGCAUUAAUGGCAGGUCGUGGCGAAUGCCUGCGAAGAUCUUAUGCCUUGAUGGCUUGGAGAUAACGGCAGGUUACAAGCUGUAAGAGUUGUCAAGUCAUUUGGACUUUAGGCGGAGGUUAAGCAUUAAGGCAUCGGCUCGGCAGGGGUGCCGAGCCGAGCUGGUCGCCCAAUGGGGCGCCCUGUGGCGGGGCCGCUUUGAGUACUCCUGGUCGGCGCUCUUUAAGCGAGCACCUUCUAGCAGAGCGCCUCUAUUCGGCGCUUUUUGCCCCAUGGUCGGCAUCCCUUGACCGAGCAUCCCUACUUUGAUUAUUUUGGCUGGGCGCCUCUUCUUGGCGCUCUCUCUGGUCGGCAUCCCUUGGCCGAGCAGUUCUCUGGUCGGCACUCCUUGGCCGAGCAGCUCUCUGGUCGGCGCUCUCUGACCGAGCAGCUUUCCGGUCGGCGCUCUUUGGCUGAGCGCCUCCGUGGACGCAUGACUUGGGGUUUUUUCCCCAACACUACCCCC
rnacentral:lncRNA from 1 species